CCUACGGGCGGCAGCAGUGGGGAAUAUUGGACAAUGGGCGAAAGCCUGAUCCAGCCAUGCCGCGUGUGUGAAGAAGGCCUUCGGGUUGUAAAGCACUUUCAGUGGGGAAGAAAGCCUUGGGGCUAAUACCCUCGAGGAAGGACAUCACCCACAGAAGAAGCACCGGCUAACUCCGUGCCAGCAGCUGCGGUAAUACGGAGGGUGCGAGCGUUAAUCGGAAUUACUGGGCGUAAAGCGCGCGUAGGCGGUCUGAUAAGCCGGUUGUGAAAGCCCCGGGCUCAACCUGGGAACGGCAUCCGGAACUGUCAGGCUAGAGUGCAGGAGAGGAAGGUAGAAUUCCCGGUGUAGCGGUGAAAUGCGUAGAGAUCGGGAGGAAUACCAGUGGCGAAGGCGGCCUUCUGGACUGACACUGACGCUGAGGUGCGAAAGCGUGGGUAGCAAACAGGAUUAGAUACCCCAGUAGUC
rnacentral:rRNA from 1 species